rnacentral:lncRNA from 1 species
UGGAGAGUGGAAUCGCCGCGACGAGGGAGAGAAGUCUGGUCGUUGUGAAGUAAGCUGCACAGAGAGAACAUCUGCACUUUGCAAAUCCUCCGCGGCCUUGCGAGUCGUGAGUUUGCAUGCAACAAUAUCAUAAUAUUAGUUUUAAAAAUGUUAAUGCAAUAUAGCGCAGCGUCACUGCGAUCGAGCGAGUCGAUAAGCCAGUAUAACGAUAAGAGCGAUAACGUCGAUCAAAAUCGCGAGAUGUUGAAAAAAAAAGACCAUUUAUAGACCCGUAUCGAUCGGACGAUUAAAGAUGAUUGUUCGAGCGUAUAUUUCACGCGUUUCGUAACGCGCGUCGAGAGUGUUUGUACAGUAUUUGCUUAAUUUUCGGAUGAUUAAAUUUAUUCGAUCUUCGUCGCGAUUGCGCGGAUAAAAACAAAACGCAAUCGCGAUGAUUACAUUUAUUGAACGCGGAUGAAUACGCAGAUAAACGGCGAUUUCACGCUCGCCGCACGUGUUGCCCCUUGAAUUAAUCGAUCGUUUUAUAAUUUGGAAAAAAUAAAAUAAAAUAAUAACUUAGUCGAAAACUCUAGUCGGAAAACUCUAGUCGGAAUUCACAGCGAACAACGAGUGCAGUGUCGCGCGCGUAAAGGGGCAUGGAAUUUCUGCGUCUUUCGUAAUGGCCAUUUAUAGCACGACGACACGCGUUGCCUCGCAAUUAUUGUAAACAACUCGGUACGCGUGGUCUCCUCGAUAUUCGACGACGAGAUAGAGGAAUUUCAAAAUUCCGUUUGGAUUUUUCACUAAAAUUGAAACUCGGAUAUUUCUUGUGCAGUUUGUCCCAAAUCCGCGUCUUUUCGCCUUUACGACGCGUAUUCGGCCGAUGUGUUUAUACCGAUAGCUACGGCGCUGCAGGUGCAGUUUGUUUUAGCAGCGAAGACGUUUAUUUAUGGAGAAGAGUAAUUUAUCGAGGACUGUCGUUAUAGACUUCAUUGUUAAUUGACAUUGCACUAAGGAAAAGCAAUUCAUUCCUUUAUGUGUGCGCAGUGUAUACAUGGAAGUAUGCGCCGAACAAAGCGCCUAUUAUGGUUUCAUCUUGCGCGGGACUGUACGUAUUAUACAAUUUCUGCGGUUCAUCGAUUUUCCUCUACACAUUUAUUGUCGCAACACCGUUAAGAAAUAUUUUCAUUCGAAUCGCGCGCGUGACUGCGGACGAAAAAAGAAUCGCGGACGUGAUUUUUCAAACGGUCGUACGAUAAACUUGCGCACAUCUAUACGCAGCAGCGAUAUCGUCGUUUUCUAUUUAAAAACGCGGCGCUCGAAGCGUCGUCGAACUGCAAAAAAAAAAAAGAACGAAUCGCCAAGACGCCAGAAAAUUAUGCAAAACAUCGCGGAAGUCGUUUGCGCGCGUCUCUUUUUGCACACUGCGCUGCAGGCGGCCGCGACAUUGUCAACAAUGAGCGAGGCAUUAAGAACAAUUUUUUUUAACGCGUAAUUAGCUGCGGAUCGUGAUGAAUUUGCGCGAGCGUCUUUUGUAAUGAAUGUGUCGUCGGCGCAAACAAAGCCUCGUUCGGCUUGGACAAGUGGGAUGUGUAGAAUCGGCAUUCGUUACACAUUUCAUUAUAACCUAAUAAACAAUUAUAAAAAAACAAAAUCAAAAUUUAAUCGUCAUAUUCGUGUGGAGCCAAUGACGCUGCGAAAGAAAAAAAAAAGUUUCUCACACACGAUAACACAGAGACGAAUCGAGCGCGCGAGCAAAGUUUGCCGCUCGAACAAAGUACAAGGCACGUCCCUCGACUCUCUUUCUCGGCGUUGCAGUCAAGCGCAGGCUUUCGUACGUGUAUAAUACGACGACGGCCGCUUUAAUGACUUCUUUGCGACUAUAAUUAUCUUCCUCGUAUACACACUCAUUGUGCGCGCGCGCGUGUAUACGUCGUCGCGGAACUUGCCUCGUGCGCCGCCGCUGCUCACCUGUUAAUAGGAUCAGCCGAGGGUAGCUUUAUAAUCGCGCGAAAAUGAAUUCGUAAUCGACGGUAUAGCCUAAUCGCUGCUCUGGGCUGAGUUGACUUACUUAUUGAAUUGCAAAAAAAAAAAAAACAACAAUCCGGGUGGUGGGCCCUCGACGUGUAUAAACAAACUUAUGUAAAUAAUAAAUCGCCUUACAUAACCCGCGCUGUGGAGUCAUGAAAAUUUAAAAGACUAUACCAGCGGGUAUAACUCUCGCGCGUGAUGUCACUCCCCGCGCGCGCGCGUCACGAGUGCAUUGUAAGCUCUACGUCCCCCGCAAUAACGUCACCGAACUCAGCGUCCGCUAAUUGGGUAUCCCGCGCGACGACGCACUGGGCAUAAACAACGACUGGUAUAUAGAGGAAAGGGCAGAUAUAACACGUCACACACCUCGUCUGUUAUUACGACGUCUGUUUCUGUAUGCAGCAGCAUGAUCUGCGCACGGAGAAAAAAAAACACACCUGUUGACCACGUGUCCGCGGACCUGUUCUAUAAUCUGGCUUGAAGCCAGAGCUUUGCAGAUUUUCUUCUCUCGAAUCUCCAUUGAUAAGCGCAAUUUGGGCAUGAUAUCGAUAGUUCAUUGAUUUAUGUGUGCGACUGAAUGCCUCGCGAUUGGAGUGUUCCACUCUGGAGGGGAAAAACUGAUGCGAGCGUGUAAUGAAUCAAUAGCGUAAUUACUGACAAUAGCUAAUGAAAACGUGUGUAUACGAAGGGAGAUGUGUAAUACAUAAUUCAAUUUAAUUUCAACGCAUGAAGCUCUUUGUAUUCCCAUUAAUUUCAGUGCGGGAAUCGUUGUGUAUACGUUAAGGGAGUGAGAGAGAGAUAGAAACACAAUUUUCUACGAUGUAUUCCACGUAGCCAUUAAACUCGAGAAUCGCUGAGUCAACGAUGAAAUAAUUUUCCGAAAAGCAAUCGUGAAAAAUUUGGCGUAGAAAAAACGCGACUUGCAUUAUUAAGGCCGAUAAAAAGAUAACGUUCCUGAAAUGAAGGAGCUAUAUAGGACCUUGAGAAAAUCUUAUAAUAUACUCGCGGGGACGGUGUUGGUUCCGAAAAAUCAAUAGACGCCACAUUCCGUACAUCGUUAAAUAGCCAGCAACGUAUUCCGCGCACGUGACCGUAAUCGAGGGGGGUCAGCUCUGCGGAGAGAGUAUAAUACUCGUAUACACAUACCGAGAAAAACGCUUCUCUAUUUACAUUGAAAAUUUAUACAUCGCGAGCACGAAUGAGUUACACGUUAUUACUUUUUGCGCUCUCUCUCUCUCGAUUCUUUUAUAAUACCCCACGCGCGAGCUUAUCGUUGCCACCUCUGCAUCGGCUAACAGCACGACGACACGAAAUGGUCUUUAUUUUUUAUUUUUAAAUGUAGAGCUUGAUAAGCUUCGAACGAGACGGCAUUUUUCGCUAUUUAAUAUUAUAUAAAACGAACGCGAAUUACGGUUGAGAAGAGAAGGAGAGGCAAUUUUUCCCAGCUCUUCGGCCGACCGGAAGCCUUAAUCUUUGAAGAAACUCGACAAGUCGCAAGGAAGUGCGCAGCGAGCUUUCAAAGACAGGCCCGAAAGCAGGUGGUUAUUUCUGUCGCGCGAGAAAGCUCGUAGCCGCGCGAUCUCACACACAUGCACGUGGCUUCGUUUCGCUCGUAAAUCACGCCCCCACUGCGCUCUUUUGUAAGAUUUAUAUAAAAAAGAUCAAGGCCCGAGAGCUUUGAAUCGGGAGAGUUGAGACAGCGCUGUAAAGUUCUUUUUCGUUUUCUUCUAUGCUUCUUCUUUGGCUGACUUUGUGUGUGUGUGUGUGUGUGUGUGUGUGUGUGGUUGAGCUGUUGGUUGGAAAGAGGCGAGGAAGCGGACUUUGUUUUAAUUUAUGGGCGAUAAAUAAUUAACGGAAUGUACUGCGGAUCGGAAAUUGUGGGCAGUACGGGCUGAUAAUCACAUCUCUGUACACUGGGUAAUUAUUUACUCGAAGAAUAAUUUAACGCUUCGAAGCCUUCGCUAUAGGUUGAAGUGUAAACAUCGCUUUGGUAGGGAAUUAUUGAACAAAAAUAAGCCUUUUUCAUAGAAUUUUUAUCAAUGAAGUGCUGUUUCUGAAGCUAUAUGCGAGUGACUUUUUAUUGAUAAUUUACAUGAUUUGAACUGUUUCAUGAACCUAUAUGUGCUUCAAUCGUUAUGAAAAAGAAAUAGAUUAAAAAAAAAAAAACAAACCUAUAGAAAUUAAUCCAACGGGAGCCAAAACGUAGAUACCGCGCAUGUACCCUCGUAUAAGGAGGCUGAUAAAAAAGAGCGCUUAUUUAUUCGUGUGCGUACGCGUGCACGUGCGCGGCCGAUCGAUGAUGUCGACGAGUCUUCGGUUUGGCCUUCGCCGACGUCUAGUAUUAUAACUCCGGGGGUAGCACAGUAGUAAGUAGUAGCACAAGCCGCCUCGAGAAAAAGUUGGAGAAGGAAAUAAAAGCAAGACAGCUGUAGCAGCACGUGGACGCGCGGAAAUAAGAGAAGUACAUAGUGCUGAGCAAAAAACAGAACUUGUUAAGGUAUUACGCGGAACUUUGCUCGCGAAGGGAUUCUUUUUUCAAAAUUUCAGCACAUUAGUUUCCUCUUAAUAGUUUCCAUCGUUUCGUAGAUGAUUGUGAAGUUUCGACUCAUACAUUCCCAGCAAUUUUGAAUGAAUGAAGUACAAAUGGAAAUGACUGAAUCGAUAUCGAUAGGGAAAUUGUAAAACCCUCAAUUACGAUCGGCGGUCGCAAGGUCGUCGUCGAUUUAAUGCCCUCUGGAAUUCCAAUUUUCCGAAAUCACGCUCAAUCAAGCGAGCAAUCGGAAAUUACCCAUCCACCGUCGUGUGCCGUACAAUCUAUACACUCGCAUCGCGAUGAAAAAGCCUUCCCUCUUUUCUUCGUAAAAAACGGAUCGAUUCAAUCAAUCAAAGCGCCAUCAACGCAACGAAGCAAUUCACUAAAAAAAAA